rnacentral:lncRNA from 1 species
GGGUGGCCAAGAACUGGGGCACCGUGCGCAGCAGCACGCGGCCCGGGCUGCCCUGCCUUCUAGGCCUGGAGCUCGAGCCCCCAGGGUGGCAAUACCAAGCUGGAGGGUAAGCAAGGGUGGAGUAAUAGUGGGGUUGAGGUCUCCGAGGCAAGUACGGAGCGUGCCCCCACCACUUCGAGGCCGCCUAUCCAGGGGCGGUGGCUAGGAUGAGCUCAUGGGGGCGGGGCGCCAAGAUCCCGCCCUUCUCGACCCCCCUCACUGCUCGCGAUGCAGGAUGGUCCCCAAAACAACAUUCAGGAGGGUGCGAGUACCCCCUUCAUAGCUGAGGGCUCUUGAUUACCUGGCUCUAGCCCGCAGACUCUUGCACCAGUUCCCAGCACUCAGAGGGGACAGGCCAGCGAUCCCCUGAUUUCCCGGCCCCAGAAGCCCCUCGAGCCGAGGCCCAGAAGCUCAGCCCUCGGCCUCAACCCGCUGGCGAGGGGCGCCAGGACCCCGAUCGGCGCACGGAGCCCACAGGUGGCGCCGCAACUUCGCGGUUGCGCUGCGCCUUCUCAGCAGGGCCUAGCGCGCUGCCCAGCCUGGCUACCGUGGGGUGCGCCCUGUCCCCAGUGGCUGCUCACCCAGAAGACGAAAUUGAAGACGAAGAGCAGGAUUUCAACAUAGACCAAAGACCAGCAUCUCUUCAGGAAUCCUCUAGGACUCCAGCACUAGAUGGUACUGCUGAGACACCCAGUCUUGGGGACUGAACAACUGCCAGAUUCUUGGCCUUCCCACUGGAAUACUGCUAUUGUUGGAAUACCAGGCUACAGCCGGUAUCCCCUGAACCCUGCACCAAAGGAGAAUGUGUGAUUCCUGGUGAUGUUUGCUGUCCCCCUGACAUCCAUAACUCAAAGACUAUGGGUCAUGUGAUUGAGGAAUAAGCUAGGGAAGAUACAUGAAGAAAACAGUCAAAGAUCUGAUCUGUCCGUGGUUAAAGAUGUGAGCUCGCCAUGUCUUCCACUUGUUGCUAUGCCUUCCUGCGAUGAUGGACUCGCAUCCCUCUGGAACGAUGUUUCCAGAGCGGUCUAACCUGGGCAGGAGUGAGCACUUUCCAGCAAGUGGCUGAGUACUAAAAGGUGGCCCAGUCUAAAGAAAAAGCAGUGUUGGCUGCCUGCCUGCCUUCCCUGGGUCUGGAGCCAGUGUGUCCAUCUGCUGCCACUGUCUUCUUUUGACGUCAGACUGAAGUUUCUUCAGCCUUCUCUAACAAGAACGAAACACCAGUGACUCUUCAGGAAUUUUCCAGGCCUUCAGCACCAGACUGAGACUGCUGAAGCGAUCAGCUUUUUGGACUAAACAGCCUGUUUAGUGUUGUGUAAGUCAAUCUAAUAAAUCCUCCUUUAUAACACACAUUUCCUCUAUUAGUUCUGUCUCCAAAGAACCCUAUUUCAUCCAUAUUGAGGUACCAGUAGUAGGUUCUAGAGAGGCAGAACUCUAAGGAUGAAUUUCUCUAGUGGGCUUGAUGGUGUUUGACUUAGCUCUCCAAUUCAUCUACACUUGGAAUUGCAAAGACUCUACACUUCUCUGGUAGUGUAGAGAGAGCAUUACCAAUCCGUCUUAGGCGUCCAAGAACUGUACAGUGAGUUCACACAUACACACGCAUACAUGUGCACACAUGUAUAAAUAAACAAACAAAUUAAAUAAAUAAAUGUAACUUAAAAAUUAAAAGGAAAGAGAAUGGCUCUUCCUUCCAAGAAUGGAUGUGGGCUGAGAGGUAGCAAAGGUUUGAAUCUCUGAUGGUGCUGAGCCAGAACAGUCAUGAGCCUCUGUGGGUCACAUAGUACUCACAUAGUACCCACAUGCUCCACAUUUGGAGCAUAAAGGGCAGGAGCUUUCCUCGGGGGUGCUCUGUGCCUGGUAUGUGUCCUUUGUUAUAUGUUUCCAGCCUUCUGUUACCAUUGGUCUCUUCUAUAUGCUAAUCUUCAUCCUCCUUUCCCCCAACAUGCCAUGCUAAUGGACAGCAGAGACCAAACAGUGUCCAUAACUGAUCCAACUUGGGUAUCUCAGUGGUGUGUGUCCCUAAAAGUGCAAUAGAUGGGGGUUGGGGGAGGAGCUUACUAAACACUACUCCAUCUGUGUAGACAAAUUACAGAGCAAAUGAAACAUUUACCUUGAAAGACUGGAGAGGCAGCUCAGUGUUUAAGAGCACUGGCUACUCUUCCAGAGAGCCUGGGGUUCAAUUCCCCCCCACCCAUAUGGCAGUUCACAACAGUCUCUAAUGGCUGUAGUCCUAUGGGCUCCAAUGUCCUCUUUUGACUUCUGCAAGCACCAGGCAUGCAAGUGGUACACAGAUAGGCAUGCAGGCAUACCACGCAUAC